AACCACCUCAUCACCGGGAGACAUACCUCUAUUUAGCUCCUGAUUUUGGAAAGCAGAAUGUGCCACCCUCUGUGGAGAAGAAAGAGCCCUCCUGCAACUUGCUCAGGCCGCGGAGCUCAGAGCCAUUUAGACAAUGAGACGAAGAACAGAUAAAACAAGCGCUCCACCUAAGGUAGCACCGUACAAUGGGAGCAGCGUGGACAUCAGAGGCAGAACUUGAGAAUUCCGUGCACACUGACUGCAAGUCUGAAGAAGGGGAGUUAACGGGAGGAAAGGAAAGUGACUUCCUUUAUUGUUCCUUGUCACAAAUCUGAGAAUCUGAUUGAAGCGGAAGGGAAAUAGAAGCUGAAGGAUCUGCCAUCUAGAGACUCCAGGCUUCUCUGAGCAAAUAUUCCAUAGUAGGGGACCUCUGGCUUCUUGGCAUAGAUACGGCAACUUGAACUUGGCCCCCAUAAGGGUGCAUAUGCUGUUCCAAGUCAGGAUUGCACACAGCAACUGACCAUACUGUGCACGGGGCAAAUAUUUAUGGGACAAUAAAUGUGAGCGAAGCAUGUUUGUGUUCUGUGCCUAACUGGCGAUGGAACACGCAGAUCGACUGAUUUCCUCCAUCCCCGUAGGAGGAGCUGUGGCCCGUGUCCUCUCGGAUCUGCCUUAGAGUGCUGGCCCUUCAAGCCUAGGACAAGAGAUGGGGCUGGGGCAAGGGGAUGCCCUCAACUGAUUUAGGACUCAGGCUUUGGGAAGAGCACAGGGCCCGGCGGUGCUGCUGUGUGUGACCCAGGUGGACCAUGACUUCAGAUUCCCCCUGUAUAAGCGGAGUAUCUUUGCUACUUGGGAUAGGGAUUAUCCUGUGAAUCAAGCUUUUCGUAGACCUCUGCAAGAACAAAGAAGAAAGUGAACAUGAUAUGACCAAUGCUUUCGGCAAAUAGAAGCAGGGGAAAUCGCUCCGGGACAAUAAACUUCUCUGUUUGGGACGUCAAUCUCACUGGGAAUUUUCAGACAAAUCAUUCAGAAAAUACACUCAAUCACGCAACAGUAGUAGAUACCAUGUGAUCAUUCCAACAUGACCGCAACGCACUGAAUAGUUAUUGCUUCUUUAUUUUUAAAUAGCCCAUAGGCAGAACAACAACAACAAAAAAAAACAACUCAAGAAACAAAUUCCAAAGGUUAGAUUUUAGAAAUCCUGCUGUUAGUAACUGUCACACAAGUGUCUUAGCAGAGGGGCAGAUAACUGUAGUCAAAGAAAUAUUAGUAUCCAAGGAUAAUUUGCGCACUUGUCAGUAUAAAUUUUUAAAUGAAACAGAAAGCCGGGGCUGCGUUUCUUUUCGUUAAAGCAACCUCCUGUGCUUCCCCGGCCUGCUCGCUAUUGUUAUGUGGCGGGUAGAUUUCACAUUCCUUCUGCAUUAUUGUAACAGACAAGUCUAAGACACUGUCUAAUGUUAAUUCUACACACUGCUGCCAAUUAUAAUCAGAGCUAGUCAAAAUAAACAAAUUAAACAAAUAAACAUGUCAAAACAUCUCUGAUUUAGGGAAAAUAAGCCAAGUCUGAACUCUUGCAGUGUUUCGGCAUAAAUGAUGGGCUGUGGGUUGUAAAACGCUCCAUAACAUUUUUUCACCUUUGCUAGGGGGAAGGUGGGUCAGUUUAGAAUUACGGCCCAGCUCAACUUUGAGAAAGGGGUCUGCGACGGAGACCAAAUCAAACCCAAAUGUUGCUGGCUUCACCUCGGGCAGUAAUGAUCUGCUGCAUGCUCUAAAUGCCUUACAAAGAAAGAAGGAAAGAAAGAAAAAAGCAGUUGAUUCUUUGCUGACGUGAUGCCAGAACCCCUAAAUCACUGGAGAGGUUGAUGGCAACGCAGGUGAGCGUAGACCCCAGGCGGAUGCACAUUUCCAUCUGAAACAAACUGUCACCGUGACAUUUCCCAAUCAGCACGUUGAAAAUACCCGGCAAUUAAGUUAGAAAGCUCUGUUGGCUUCAAGAGGGAGUAUGAGACAUGACUUUGCUACUCAAGUAGAAAAUCUUGGC